CCUACGGGCGGCAGCAGUGAGGAAUAUUGGUCAAUGGGCGCUAGCCUGAACCAGCCAAGUAGCGUGAAGGAUGACUGCCCUAUGGGUUGUAAACUUCUUUUAUAUGGGAAUAAAGUGCAGUAUGUAUACUGCUUUGCAUGUACCUUAUGAAUAAGGAUCGGCUAACUCCGUGCCAGCAGCCGCGGUAAUACGGAGGAUCCGAGCGUUAUCCGGAUUUAUUGGGUUUAAGGGGGGCGUAGGCGGGUUGUUAAGUCAGUGGGGAAAGUUUGCGGCUCAAGCGUUAAAGUGCAGUUGAUACUGGCAUCCUUGAGUGCAGUAGAGGUAGGAGGAAUGCGUGGUGUAGCGGUGAAAUGCUUAGAUAUCACACAGAACUCCGAUUGCGAAGGCAGCCUGCUGAACUGUAAUUGACGCUGAUGCUCGAAAGUGUGGGUAUCAAACAGGAUUAGAUACCCGAGUAGUC
rnacentral:rRNA from 1 species